UACAGAGGUCUCAAGCGUUGUUCGGAUUCAUUGGGCGUAAAGGGUGCGUAGGUGGCGCCGUAAGUCGGGUGUGAAAUUUCGGAGCUUAACUCCGAAACUGCACUCGAUACUGCUCUGCUUGAGGACUGGAGAGGAGACUGGAAUUCACGGUGUAGCAGUGAAAUGCGUAGAUAUCGUGAGGAAGACCAGUGGCGAAGGCGGGUCUCUGGACAGUUCCUGACGCUGAGGCGCGAAGGCCAGGGGAGCAAACGGG
rnacentral:rRNA from 1 species